UACACGACCGUACCGCAAACCGACACUGGUGCGCGAGAUGAGUAUUCUAAGGCGCUUGAGAGAACUCAGGAGAAGGAACUCGGCAAAUUGACACCGUAACUUCGGAAGAAGGUGUGCCUUUAGUAGGUGAACCUGUACAAGGGGAGCCCAAUGAGGUUGCAAAAAAUCGGUGGCUGCGACUGUUUAAUAAAAACACAGCACUCUGCAAACACGAAAGUGGACGUAUAGGGUGUGACGCCUGCCCGGUGCUGGAAGAUUAAAUGAUGGGGUGCAAGCUCUUGAUUGAAGUCCCAGUAAACGGCGGCCGUAACGAUAACGGUCCUAAGGUAGCGAAAUUCCUUGUCGGGUAAGUUCCGACCUGCACGAAUGGCGUAACGAUGGCCACACUGUCUCCUCCUGAGACUCAGCGGAGUUGAAAUGUUUGUGAUGAUGCAAUCUCCCCGCGGAAAGACGGAAAGACCCCAUGAACCUUUACUGUAGCUUUGUAUUGGACUUUGAACAGAUCUGUGUAGGAUAGGUGGGAGGCUUUGAAGUGUGGUCGCUAGAUCGCAUGGAGCCAACGUUGAAAUACCACCCUGGUGUGUUUGAGGUUCUAACCUAGGCCCGUAAUCCGGGUCGGGGACAGUGCAUGGUAGGCAGUUUGACUGGGGCGGUCUCCUCCCAAAGCGUAACGGAGGAGUUCGAAGGUACGCUAGGUACGGUCGGACAUCGUGCUAAUAGUGCAAUGGCAUAAGCGUGCUUAACUGCGAGACUGACAAGUCGAGCAGAUGCGAAAGCAGGACAUAGUGAUCCGGUGGUUCUGUAUGGAAGGGCCAUCGCUCAACGGAUAAAAGGUACUCUGGGGAUAACAGGCUGAUACCGCCCAAGAGUUCAUAUCGACGGCGGUGUUUGGCACCUCGAUGUCGGCUCAUCUCAUCCUGGGGCUGUAGCCGGUCCCAAGGGUAUGGCUGUUCGCCAUUUAAAGAGGUACGUGAGCUGGGUUUAAAACGUCGUGAGACAGUUUGGUCCCUAUCUUCCGUGGGCGCUGCAGAUUUGAGGAAGCCUGCUCCUAGUACGAGAGGACCGGAGUGGACACACCUCUGGUGUAUCGGUUGUCACGCCAGUGGCAUUGCCGAGUAGCUAUGUGUGGAAGAGAUAACCGCUGAAAGCAUCUAAGCGGGAAACUCGUUUCAAGAUGAGAUCUGCCGGGGCCUUGAGCCCCCUAAAGAGUCGCUCAAGACCAGGACGUUGAUAGGUCGGGUGUGGAAGCGCAGUAAUGCGUUAAGCUAACCGAUACUAAUUGCUCGUGCGGCUUGACC
rnacentral:rRNA from 1 species